AAGUCCCAGGAGACAAGGUUCAGUCCUGGUGUGCUGUGUGACAUUGGGCCAGCCAUUGUCCUUCUCUGGGCCUUCAUUUCCUCCUCUGUAGAAACUAAAGAGGCUGGCUACCAGCUGUCUGAAGUCUUCCUUAGUUCUGGGAUUCUGUUAGAGAGGCCACAGGUUUUCAGGUUGUGUGGGUUUGGGUUUGUGGUAGAGAGGGAGGCGGGUCGGAGCAGCUGAAGAGGCUGGGAUGGAGGUGAGGGAUGCGCAGGGAGGGUUAGGAGCGAAGGCUCUGGAGUCAAAUGUAACUUUGAAUCCCAGCUCAGCAUCAGCAGCGGAGUGUUACACGCACUUAACUGGACUUCUCAGAGGCACUUUUUAUAUACAAAUGAGGAGAACGAUAGUACCUGCUUCACAGGGUCGUUCAAACCUUAAAUGACGGGGUGGAUGUAAACGCUCCGGCUUCACGUGCUGCCCAGCAGAGAGAAAAGCCCCAAUAAAUGAUCCCCCUCGUCAACGCCAUCCUAUUGUCAGGGCUGAAGUCCAGUGCUGCCGCUUCUCAGGGUGCUCUGGGCGCAGCACAGCGCCUCAGAGGGGAGAUGCUCCCUGACGGCUGGCAAGGGGUCUCCAUGAUCUGAGAGCGCUGUCUGGAAAACGCCCAAAUCCCGCCUUCCUGUGGGAUCCGCAGGAGCCAGGCCUCCAUCCGCGCUGAGGCCGGGAACCCCCGGCACCACCGUAGGCAAGCGGCCCAGGGCUUCAGCGGGUCUCCAGGGCUCCUGCCAGCUCUGGCUCUGUGGACAACACCCAGGGCCUUUUCCUUCUGGGUGUUGAUGGUGACUUCCAAGGUCCACUUCAUUUCUCCGAGCCUCCAACCUUUUAUUAUAAAAAUGUUCCAACACACGGAAAAGUUGAAGGACCUGCACCGUCCCCACCGCAUGCGCAGCGCUGAGACUGCUGUCCUUUCCUCUCCUUGCUUGAUCACAGCUCAGUCCCUCUAGUCCUCUUUCCUCCCAGCAAUUCAUCUUCCUUUUUUGAGGCAUUUCAAUGUAAGCUGCCAAUGUCAGUUUGCUUCCCCCUAAACACUUCAGCAGGCAUAUCAGGAACUAUAUUUGUUGAUGGUUCUUUUCUUUUUGAGGCCAAGAUUGCUGACAGUGAAAGGCACGACCUUAAGUGUACUCUUCUGUGCGUUUUGACAAAUGCAAUCAUUUGCGUAACCAAAGCACCAUUAAGACGUGGAACACGAAUUUGUUUCUUUUGAACUCUGAGUCACACUGCAUCUUUCUCAGGACUUUUGGGGGAAACUCCCGCCGGUCGCCAGGGCAAGAAUCCAUGUCAUCUUGCUUCCCUCUUAGCUCUGGCCGCUUGGAAAUUCUGAGACGCUUGUGGCCGGCCUCCAGCCCGCGCACAGGACGUGAGUUAUGCAUUUCUGUCGUCUUACGCUCCCUUCUCCCCAGUUACCUUGUCUGUUAUUUUUAAAUCCUGCUGAAGUAUAUACAACUCUACAAGCGGGUUCUCAAAUCCUUUUUUUGGAACAAGACUGAAGGAGUACUGCAUAAAUAAUCAUAUUGGAAUUUUCAGGAUAUUUCAAUGGUUUGUGGUGUCCAAAUAUGUGAAAUUGAGGCUGUUCCAGUAAAUCUGGAAUGAAUUGACACUCUAUGCACAGAGUACGGACCUGUGUGUACAGUAUGCAUAUGUACGCACACACACGCACACAUGAAUUCUUUUCUUGGUCCAGACAGUGGCACUGGCAGUAAAACUAUCAAUUCCAAACCGAAAGAGCCCACUCAGCACUGGCCUGGCUGCCCAGGAUCCUGCAGGGCAGAAGUUGGGGAACAGAUGGUGGUCUGAAUGGUGACCUUGGAUGGCUGGAGGCCGGCGCCUGUGAACAAGUGAUGAUGCUGCUGGCAAGUCUGGAACCAGGCUGCGAAGCGGCCUGUGCUUCCCCAUCAGAGAUCUUUGGUCCAAGCUCUUCUGCUGGUGAUUUCCUGGGUCCUGACUUGCAUUUUCUCCCCUCAUCCCCGCUCGUGGGGAGCCCUGAGCCAGCUGCCAAGGACCCCGGCCAAGCCUUCGGGUUCCAGUUCCUGAAGGGUGGAGAGGAUGUCAUCCUCCUGUGUAUGCAGUUUUGCAUCCUGUUGUCUUGGUUUCACUUAAGAUCGUCAACAUUUCACAUGUGCUGUAUGGUAGGCAGCUUCUAAGAUGGCUGCCACUGGUCCAGAUGGGCUUCAGGACUCACUAGGCCCGAAAUAUGGCACCUGGGCAUAUCAAACACUUGAAGCUGAAGGGAGUUGAGAAAAAGGGAGGUCUCUCUGACCUCCCCCCUGCCCUUCUCCCCUGAAACAGGUCACAAACGGUCACAUUUGUGGCAUCUUCCUUGUACUGGAAGAAAGGACCACCCUUAUCUCGGAGGAAAAGGGAUGCCAAGAAGGAUCUGAACAAGCAGGGCUUGCUAGGUCUCCCCCUGGUGGAGCACUCACCUCGUCUUCCUGCCCUCUGGUGUUCCCACACGGCAAACCCAGCAUCGAAAUCCUCAGGCCUGUUUCUUCGGGUCUUCAUUUCUCUAUGAAGGCUCCUGUGUCGUGUAAUAAAUUAUUAAUAAAUGUGCAUAGUUUUCUUCUGUUA